UCUGUUACUCAACUGUUCAAGUUAAUCAUCAUUUCAAAAUCAUCACCUUAAAAGCCCUGAAUUGAAUUGAGAUGUCCAGGAUUCAGUCCUGUCCUGUCAGUCUGUGAAGUUAACAUUAAUGUGGUUCAGAAGAGUUGUCAUAUGUAAAUGACUGUAUUGUAUAUUGUAUAUUUUUACUGUAACUGAUUUUUGCUGGAUGUCUCAGGCAUCCUUACUUUAUAUAGAGAGAUAGAUGUUGUUUGGGACUGAGGAUAAAGGUGAGGAUAAAGGUGAUGAGAAACAGCUGUGACUAACUGAACCACAGCCCCAUAGCACAGGAUUGGCUGACAUAGGACAGUGUGCUUUUUAAGUUGAUCUGGGACAGGUGAGAGGAGCACAGCAAGGGAGAGAGGACAAGUGUGUCCAGAGAAGUGGAGAGUUUCACCCACGACAGAGUUUGGACCACAGAGUUGAGGUGUUCCACCGGGAAAGUCUGCUGAUGGAUUAAAUGUGUAUGACCCGCUCUACCUCCUGAGCCACAACCAGCCCAAAUACAGGGCGAUGGAGCAAGAGUAAGGCCCGAGACAAGGUCCUUGACGGAUAGCCGUGGACGAGCAAGGCGGGAGGUGGAAAGACUUGGUUCAACGCCCACUACACAAUAACGGCUGCAGCAGCUUCAACAAGGAAGAGGGACAGUGGGAUCGUGCUGCACCUGGGAAUUUAAGUAGACUCCACUUUCUGAUUUGUUAUUGCCCAUUAGUGGUAUUGGACUUUGGCAUCACCAUUUUAAACAAAAGUUGUUAAUUCUGUUUUUUACUUUUGUAUCAUUUUAUCCAGUAUUUUACCAUAGUAUUUUAUUCAAUCAUUUAAAGUUCUCUUGUGGCGUUGAA